rnacentral:lncRNA from 1 species
CCUGCAUCUGCGUUACCUGGAAAUCUGAGCCCCAGGCUCUUUUCCUGAACGCUGGGUGGCGUUCCCUGUGCUGUACGGCAGGUCCCCGUCGCCCCUGCCUUCCGUGGAGAGAGAUUCUGGGGAACCGUGGCUAGGACGAGACGGAUCUGCAGACGCCUCGCCUCUCGGGAGCCCGUUCCCCUUCUGUCCUCUCGGAGGUCCCCGGUGCCACCUCCCGGAAGUAGCUCUGAUCUGCUCGGGGUCACUGAAGACUCCUGUCGCUGGUUCUGGAACGUGACGUCAAGGGAACGAUCUGAGAGGAAACCUCACGUCCUGCCCUCCUUUCACCCCGAGUACGUCUGGGUUCCUCCACGCGGCUGCGAGUACCGACCUGGUUCCUCCCUCGGCUUCGAUGGUCCCCCUGCCCACCUCCCAGCCGUGGGCGUUUGCUCGUCCGCUCACCGGCCGGAGGCACAUGGGCUGCUGUGGACAGAACUGAUCCUCUGGGACCCAGUCCUGCGGGACGACGUUUCUGUUCCUCUUGGGUAAGGACAUGGCCGGGAGUGAGUCCUGGCCCAGCGGGCACAGGGGAGCUGGGGGAGGGCACAGGGGAGCUGGGGGAGGGCCCAGGGGAGCUGGGGAAGGCCACAGUUCUCCAAA